CCCUGUGCCCCAACAAUAACAAAUGUUCGGCAAAUGCUUCAGUUCAAUUCACAAAUAAGGAAAAGCUCUGCAGCCCCACAGGAGGGGCCCGCCCCCCACUUUGGGAACCAAUUAAACUAACUUAAAAGAUGAACCUCUAAAAAAAAAAAAAAAAAAAAAGUUGUUGAAGGGAAAAUGGCUACAAUUUCCAAAAGACAGGACAAAAUAUGACAAGAUUUGAUCAUUAAAUGUUAACACAUCGAGGCGAGUUGAACGAUGAAGAUGUUGGGACUAGAGACAGACAGUAGUGAGACCUGCUAUGACACCAGGAUGGACAGAACUGAGAUCAGAUCAGAGGGACAGUCAAGGUGGAGCAGUUUGGAGAUGGAGUAGAGAGGUGGAGAUGUUGGACAGAAGGUGGAGAUGUUGGACAGAAGGUGGAGAAACGGAGGACGUUAGAUGAAAGACAACAUGGAGACGGUUGGUGUAAAAGCAGAGGAGGCAGAUGAUCCACUGUGGCGCCCCCUGAAGGGAAUAAUUAAAUGUUGACAACAGAUCAAUAGUUCUCUGCUCUUGUAUUUUACAUCUUUUACAUCUGUAAGAAAAUGUCGACCGUUUCCUCUUUUUCUCCGUCACCUCAACACACCGUCAACUCUCUGUUGCCAUCAAUCGGCGCGGCUUUAGCUUCGGCCGUGUUUAUCAUUCACGCCUGUCCCCGAGGUGGAACUCGACCCUCAUUAACCAGCUCUGUGCACAGGCUAAAUCCUAACACUUGCGUGGGAAUUGUGAUGAGCACAUCAACAUUAGCAUAUUAGCAUUCUUAGCGCUAGUUAACAGUCCGGCCGAUCCCCUCUGUUAGUCCCACAGCAGCCUGUCAGCAGCAGGCUUUUCCAUCUGCAGACAGACCGGCGCUCCCACUGGUGAGGGAGAUUUACUGCGUCGGCUUUGAUCAGAUCAGCGUUUAUACCUGUCCUCUGAGACAGAGACGUUCAUGAAGGCCAGUUUAGUAAGUGUUUAAUUGUAGUAUUUGUUCUGUGCUUGUUAAUACUGUCACUAGUACUGAAGUACUGACGACGUCAUAGACCAGACUAGUCCUUUAGACUAGUCCUAGUACUCUGUGGCAGCACUUAGAAGACAUUUUUGUGACCCACAAUUAUUUCUGAUUUAUUUUUGACUAACCCAUUGUCAGAGUAUUUUGCUAACGUUUACAUUUCUACCAAAAAAUGUUAGCUUUUUCCCGACUAACUGAGCAAAAACUUUAACUGUUUUUACAUGUUUCGGCCUAACUUUACAUCUAUACAUAUACCAUAUAUAAAUAUACAUUAUUAGUUUACCUAGGUAUAUUUUCACUUGGUGGUUUAUUUGAUCAGUCAUUGUUACUUAUUAACUUAUUCAUUUGUUGAAUCUGUGUUCACUGUUUUCUUCACCUGAUCUAUGCAAACGUUCAAGUUUCCAGCAAUUCCUCACAGAACAGAACGACUAUUUUUGGCCGGACUGCUGCAUUUUUCUUUUUACAAGAAAAAGGGGAGCGAGACAAAAAAAAAAAAAAAACACUCCUCUUGACAGAAAUGUUGAACCGCAGCAGCCAGCUGUGAAGUGUUGUUCUGAAGGGGCUCUCACUGUACAACAUGUGGUCGGCUUCCUUAAAUCCAACUAUUUGCGGCGACAUAAUUGCAGUCUAGACGUGCUGCUGUAUCUGGAGUUACAUCUGAAUCUACAGAUAAUAAAUCCACCGGCUCGCAGCAGCAGCAGCAGCAGCAGCAGCAGCACAGAGUCUGAAGGUGACGAAGAACACGGGCCGUAAAUUGAAACGUCUCUCAGUGUUUGGUCUGAUUUGGAUCUGGACCCAAACGGUUCAGUCUUUUUGGAGAUUCACGUAUUACUUUUCUGGCUGAGAUGGACGGGGAGAUUACAAAGCACUCUGGUGUUUGUCUGUUACCACAGGCAGGGGGCGUUGGGCCGCCCCUCCACCCACCCACCCCACCCCACCCCUUCUCCAUCCUCUCAUCCAACUCCUGGCUGGAAGUCAAAUCACUGUGCUUUUGUAUUAUGGGCUACAGAAAGUAUUUUGUUUUCAUUUUAAACGCCUGCUGGUAUAAACCAAACCAAGUUCAUAAAAAUUGUUUUUUUUUUUUAACCUUUCACGUCUACAGUCUGACUGCACGUGCUCUGUUAUGGCAGGUGUGAUUAUGCAGCCCAGCUGGGCCACAUUCAGACUAUUUGGGUAUCACUGGAUGACACACUACCACAAAUCAAUUCUAUCAUUUCCACCAUCUUAGUCUUUGUCCCACAGAUAGUUUUGCUAAUUCUUUUUUAAUGUUUCGACUUGGAUUUAUUGAUUGAUUAAGUCAUUAAUCUGUAUCAGAAAUCUUCAAAUUUUGCUGAGUCAAACAGAGAUAGAAAAACUAUUUUGUUCAAAAGAUUUUUUUUUGUAGAUUUUCCCAGAACUUGGAAGUAUGGGAGUAUGUGGGCGUGUUGAGAAAAAAAACAAACUAAACCUAAGGUCCAGACAGUUUACAGCCAAACCACCCGCUUCACACCCGAUUCUGUCCCAUCUCCAGACAGGAAGGGUUUUAUUUUCGCCUUCACAGCUGCAGAAAUAGGACUGAAUGGAGGAUGAAGGAAGUGGAGGGAGGAAAAUGUGUUUUCCAUUCUUAGCUGACGGAGGAGUGAGGGCUCUGGGAAAGAUCUGACACUGCAUAGAGGAAGUUCAUUACAGGGAAUCUGAGCUUUUACUGGGCUGUGGGUUUUUUAUUAUUUAAAAAAAAAAAA